AGAUUGGACGCUGGCGGCAUGCCUAACACAUGCAAGUCGAACGGGAGUAGCAAUACUCUAGUGGCGGACGGGUGAGGAAUACGUAGGAAUUUGCCCUUAAGUGGGGGAUAACCCGGGGAAACCCGGAUUAAUACCGCAUGACCUCGAAAGAGCAAAGUGGGGGAUCGCAAGACCUCACGCUUUUGGAGAAGCCUACGUCGGAUUAGCUAGUUGGUGAGGUAAUGGCUCACCAAGGCGACGAUCCGUAACUGGUCUGAGAGGAUGAUCAGUCACACCGGAACUGAGACAC
rnacentral:rRNA from 1 species